GUUAGGACCGGGCAGGGCAGGGCGUUGGUAGGAGCGGGGUGCCAGCAGGAGUAGGGUGCAGGACGCGGGUAGGAUCGAAACCUCAUGCUGGAAAGGCCACCAGUAGCCUGGGUCCCCGUACCUCUGCAGGCGCAGCCGCUCUUUUCACCUGGUGCGCCAGCUUGCAAGUCGUGCAUUUACCUCUUUUGGCUGCACAGAGAGGGCAGGGAAGCCUCGCGGGUAUGCAAGAUCGGGAAUGGCUGGGGGUGCGACCAAGGGGACUUGGAGAACCGCCCCGCCUCCCCAGGUUCCCCUGGUAGAGCGCACCACCCCCCACCCCCGCGAUUUUUCAGAGGCCCAGGCCCUGUGGAGCUGGGUCUCUGCGGAAGGGGUGGGGACCGGGCAGAGGCAGGAGGACGGAAAGAGCUGGGCAGGGAAGGGGGCCAAGAGAGCCCUUUCUCAACAUCCAGGGAAAAGAACUGAAGAACAGUUUGUUGACUGAGGAGCUGAAGGAUUAAGUGCAGAGCCACAUAUAUAUUUAAAGACCCUGUGGAAAAAAGUUAAUGAACAAAAAAGAAUUGGAAGAAGGGUAAAAUCCAAAAUGUCAUUGCCCAGAUCAAUGUCAUGGAGCUUGAGCUCAGGAGUUUGAGAUCAUACUGGGCAACAUGGACAACGUCUUAAAAAAAAAAAAAAUUUAAAGCCGUGUGUGGUGGCAUAUGCCUUUAGUUCCAGCUACUCGGGAGGUUGAGGCAGGAGGAUCACUUGAGGCAGGGAGGUGGGGGCUGCAGUAAGCCAUGAUCAUGCCACUGCAUUCCAGUCUGGGUGACAGAGACUGUCUCAAGAAAAAAAAAAUCAUGUCAUCUGCAAAUGGACAACUCAACGUUUUUCUUUCCAAUUUGGAUGUCUUUUGUUUCUGCUGCCUUUGUUCUAACACCUCCAGUACUAUACUGAAUUGAAGUGGCGAGAGGGCAUCGUUGUCUUGUUCUGGAUCUUCUUUCUCUGUUGAUGAUGAUGCUAGCUGUGGCUCUGUCAUAUGUGGCUUUUAUUGUGUAGUUGCACAUUCUUUAUAUACCUAAUUUGUUGAUAGUUUUCAUCACUAAUAGAUGUUGAAUCUGUCUAAUGCUUUUUUCUGCAUAUAUUUAAUGCUCAUGGAGUCAUACAGUUUGGAACUCUAUCUCUACCCAAAUCUCAUGUUCAACUAUAAUCCCCAGUGUUGGAGAUGGGGCCUCUUGGGAGGUGAUUGGGUCAUGGGGGCAGUUUCUCAUGGUUUAACACCAUCCCCCUUGGUGUUUCUGUGGCAAUAGCAAGUUAUCAUGAGAUCAUGUUUGAAAGUGUGUAGUGCCUACCCCCACCCCUCCUGCUCCAGCUAUGUGAUGUGCCAGUUUCCCCUUCGCCUUCCACCAUAAUUGAAGCUGAGCAGAUGCUGCCAUGCUUCCUGUACAACCUAUGGAACCA